GAUGAACGCUGGCGGCGUGCCUAAUACAUGCAAGUCGAACGAAACUUCUUUAUCACCGAGUGCUUGCACUCACCGAUAAAGAGUUGAGUGGCGAACGGGUGAGUAACACGUGGGCAACCUGCCCAAAAGAGGGGGAUAACACUUGGAAACAGGUGCUAAUACCGCAUAACCAUAGUUACCGCAUGGUAACUAUGUAAAAGGUGGCUAUACUACCGCUUUUGGAUGGGCCAGCGGCGCAUUAGCUAGUUGGUAGGGUAAAGGCUUACCAAGGCAAUGAUGCGUAGCCGAAUUGAGAGGUUGAUCGGCCACAUUGGGACUGAGACACGGCCCAAACUCCUACGGGAGGCAGCAGUAGGGAAUCUUCCACAAUGGGCGAAAGCCUGAUGGAGCAACGCCGCGUGGGUGAAGAAGGUCUUCGGAUCGUAAAACCCUGUUGUUAGAGAAGAAAGUGCGUGAGAGUAACUGUUCACGUUUCGACGGUAUCUAACCAGAAAGCCACGGCUAACUACGUG
rnacentral:rRNA from 1 species